CAGCAACCAUGUUUUUCCAUACCAGAUUAGUAUUUAUACUACAAAUACGUUUCUCGUACCAAAUGGGGAGUAGCGGCUCUUGAUCUCCGUAUCCUAAUCAUCCUACGGCAGUGGUUUUCUCGGCCUUGAUGGUAAUUAAAUGGUUGGCAAGGGGCUAUUAACCGGCCAAAAAUCGAGACGGAGCCCUAAGCCGGAAGGAGACCAGUUUUCCCGGCUCCAUCGAAGGAUUGGCUGAUACAAGAUGAAGCGGUCUGCGGAGGUUGUGGUAGUGGGAGGGACCAAAAUGGACUGGUUCAUGCUAGUGCCAUUGAAGCUUAAUAUUGACCUCAGAUGCAAGAUUUCUGCUUUGUAUUUGGACAGAUGCUUGCUCUGAAGAGUAUUUUCUGUCUUGUAGCGCUGGAUUAUGGAUAGGAGUUCUAGUGUCAUGCUAUAGCCUUACAAUGUAUCUUUAUGAUCCCAAUAUCUUAGGCAGCUGUUAGUUUCAUCAUAGGUAGACUAAUUGUAGGAUCUAAUUAAUAGAUCGGUAUAUUCUUUUAUUAUUUAUUGAUAGUGUGAUAAGUGCUUAACCAUCUUGUGCAUUCUUACUCAUGAGUUACCCAUUUUGAUGGCUGUAGUGCUAUCGUGUCAUAACUAUAUUUUAGUCAAAUUAACAUGUCUAAUAAAAAAAUUUGACAGAUUUUUGCAUUAGGUUCAGCUUAAGAUUUUCCGUGAAAGGCUUUGUUUUGGCAUUUUAUGUUAUUGCAGACGUUCUUUUUCUUUCCUACUUUAUGUUUGGCUUCUUGUUUUAAUUAAAUCCAUUAUAUGAGUAUGGUAACUCAAACAGAGAGCAAGAGUUCUAGUCAAGUCAUGAGAAACUAAAUUAAUGUUUGAAAGGGUCCUGUUUUUGGGUUGUUUGGUGUAUUUGCAUCUAUUUAAACUUGUAACAUAAUUCUGUCUAUGUCGAGUUCUCUAUACUAUUAAAUGGAUAUGUCUUCGCAAGAGGCACUUUGCUGUUUAUCUUUCUGGCACUAAUUAUGUUAAUAAUCUGGACUUUUUCUAAUGAAAAUGCUUCCAACAAGUGUUCAAUUCAAGACUGAUUAUUUUCUCUUUGUUUUUUUUCUUUUUUUUUAGUUGCUACCUUCUGUUUCUGAAUCCUAUCUCCAAGCCUCAUUAAUUGGCCCACAUCGGCCACUACAAAAGGGUAUCUCCGCACGCAAAUUACUGUUAGCAUAUUUGGAUUUUUCAUGCUGAAAAGAGCCUCUGACAGUAAGUUCAACUCUCAACUUGAGAGUUGAGACAGCUCCAUUUGUUGGAGCUAUUCUGGUAGUCAGCAUCUACGCUUCAAUUAAAAUCUUUUUAUUUGAGAAGAAAGCACAGAGAGUAGAGUGCUGUCUCAGUUGCUCACUGUGAGUUUUGCAAAGUCUGAUAGAGAAAGGAUGUUGUUGGAGAGUUUACUGGCAUGUUUACUGAUUAAUUUCUGAGUCAGAUAAGGAUGUCAGGUAUGUGGUUAUAGCUAUUUUGCUUGCUUGCUGGUAUACUUAUCUGGUAUUUGAAUAACAAUAUAUAGAUUCUUAACUAUAAUGCAAUUUCCCAUUGAUUGUAUCUUGAAACAGUCACAUGCUAGUGUUGGUAUUCUGUUCUUGUUUGACAGAAAACCAUGAGUGUUUAAUGAAUUUAUUCUUUGCAAAAUAACAAAAAUCAAAGUAAUUUAAAGCAUGAUUUUAGAUCUGAAUACUGGGCAGCGUGCAACGUAAGGGAUCAGGUGAGAGAGAGGUUAUAAAGAAGACGACAACAGUUGUUAAAAUUUUAAAAGAAAUUGCUGCAAUUAUCAGACUAGUUCGGGCGAAAAACCCUUCUCUACAUACCGGUUCAAGACUGGACCAAUAAACACUGUCUGGUAUGUACCAAAAUUUGAUACCAUUGAAGAAAUAUCACAAUGUUGCUAAGGAAGCAGUCAAUUGAGAUCCUCCAUUUUAGUAAAGAUCAGUUGUUAAUCUGCUUUAAUGGGAUAGCAGUAAGGGAAAUGUCUGCUUAAUUAGUUGUAUUCUACCACAUGAAUUCAAGAGGUUGUUUGGUUUUACAGGAUGGAUAUAUGCUGGCUAACUGCUUUUGUAACAGAGAGGCAAAUAUGGGCAUACAGGAGUAAGGGAGCAUGAUAUGAUAUUACUGACGCUGCACUGAAAGCUUGCUAAGAAGAGAUAGAGGAGUUCGUUGUUAUCACUUUUAUGCUCCAACAAUGUUCAGGGUUUCAAGCCUUUGUCAAUAAUUUUCCUGGGUGAGGCAAGUUUCAAGAGACAAAGCCUUAACAUGGAUUUUAUCUUCCCUCCUCUUUGGAAAGCUUGUUGAGAACAGUUGCAAUCUGAUACCAGAUUCAAUGGCUUAGAACUAUGAUUAAUUAUGUGAAAUCUUGUUCACAAAAUGCUACAGAUCCAGAACUGUUUUGAUAACAUGGUCUUGUUCCUUGAUUUCCUGGCAUGCAUGUGAGUAAAUUUGAAGUAGUUUCUAUAGCUGGAUGCUAUUUUGUCAUUGGAUGACAGAACUGACUUUUUUGGCCCACAA